rnacentral:rRNA from 1 species
GACGAACGCUGGCGGCGUGCCUAAUACAUGCAAGUAGGACGCAGUUGCGAACGGGUGAGUAACGCGUAGGUAACUACCUAUUAGAGGGGGAUAACUAUUGGAAACGAUAGCUAAUACCGCAUACUAGUAGAUGGACCUGCGUUGUAUUUGGUAGUAGGUAGGGUAAUGGCCUACCUAGGCAACGCUACAUAGCCGACCUGGGAGGGUGAUCGGCCAAACUGGGACUGGGACACGGGCCAGACUCCUACGGGAGGGAGGAAGAGGGAAACUUCGGCCAAGGGGGGAACCCUGACCGAGCAACGCCGCGGGAGUGAAGAAAGGUUUCGGAUCUUAAAGCUCUGUUGUUAAGGAAGCGGUACUUAACCAGAAAGGGACGGCUAACUACGUGCCAGCAGCCGCGGUAAUAC